GAUGAACGCUGGCGGCGUGCCUAACACAUGCAAGUCGAGCGAACAGACGAGGAGUUUGCUCCGCUGACGUGAGCGGCGGACGUGUGAGUUACAUGUGGAUAACCUCCCUAUAGGACGGGGAUAACUUCGGGAAACGGGUGCUAAUACCGGAGAAUAUAGUGAACCGCAUGGGUCACUAGUGAAAGACGGUUUUGCUGUUACUUAUAGAUGGAUCCGCGCCUCAUUAGCUAGUUGGUAAGGUAACGGCUUACCAAGGCAACGAUGAGUAGCCGACCUGAGAGGGUGAUCGGCCACACUGGAACUGAGACACGGCCCAGACUCCUACGGGAGGCAGCAGUAGGGAAUCUUCCGCAAUGGGCGAAAGCCUGACGGAGCAACGCCGCGUGAGUGAUGAAGGCCUUCGGAUCGUAAAGCUCUGUUAUUAGGAAAGAACAACUGUGUAAGUAACCAUGCACGUCUUGACGGUACCUGAAGAGUAAGCCCCGGCUAACUACGUG
rnacentral:rRNA from 1 species